GGGCGCGUGGCUCAACGGUAGAGCGCUUCGUUCGCAACGAAGAGGUUUCGGGUUCAAAGAUGGUUAUAAGUAAAAUCUUCCGCGACGAUUAGAUGUUUAACAGAAAAUCCCGACGCGUCCA
rnacentral:tRNA from 1 species